rnacentral:rRNA from 1 species
GAACGCGAAGAACCUUACCAUCCCUUGACAUGGCAUGCGAGCCGGAGAGAUCCGGUGUUCCCUUCGGGGACGUGCACACAGGUGCUGCAUGGCUGUCGUCAGCUCGUGUCGUGAGAUGUUGGGUUAAGUCCCGCAACGAGCGCAACCCACGUCCCUAGUUGCCAUCAUUUGGUUGGGCACUCUGGGGAGACUGCCGGUGAUAAGCCGCGAGGAAGGUGUGGAUGACGUCAAGUCCUCAUGGCCCUUACGGGGUGGGCUACACACGUGCUACAAUGGCGGUGACAAUGGGCAGCGAAGGGGCGACCUGGAGCGAAUCCCCAAAAGCCGUCUCAGUUCGGAUUGCACUCUGCAACUCGGGUGCAUGAAGGCGGAAUCGCUAGUAAUCGUGGAUCAGCACGCCACGGUGAAUACGUUCCCGGGUCUUGUACACACC